AAUCUUUGAACGCACCUUGCGCUCCUUGGUAUUCCGAGGAGCAUGCCUGUUUGAGUGUCAUCG
rnacentral:rRNA from 1 species